AUUUAAUUAGUUUAAUAAAAAAUUUUGAUUUGUGGAAUCUUAGAUAAUUAUUUUUAUAUUUAUUAAAUA
rnacentral:tRNA from 1 species